rnacentral:rRNA from 1 species
UACGUAGGGUGCGAGCGUUAAUCGGAAUUACUGGGCGUAAAGCGUGCGCAGGCGGUUUUGUAAGCCAGAUGUGAAAUCCCCGGGCUUAACCUGGGAAUGGCAUUUGGGACUGCAAGGCUGGAGUAUAGCAGAGGGGGCUAGAAUUCCUGGUGUAGCAGUGAAAUGCGUAGAUAUCAGGAGGAAUACCGAUGGCGAAGGCAGGCCCCUGGGUUAAUACUGACGCUCAUGCACGAAAGCGUGGGGAGCAAACAGG